CUGCUCUAAAUAGUAUUGAAAAUGACUAAUAUCACAUAGAAUUUAGGAUGGAUAGUAUGCACAUUGGGACGCAUGCAGGCUGAGAAUCGGCCCGAGUGUUCCCAUAGACUUUCAUACAAUUAUUUUUUUUCAAACUGCAGGCACUGCCUGCAAAACCGGAGGCUGCAUUUUCAGGAACGCAGUCCUAGGACCGCAUUUCUAGGACCCUAGGUUUUUAGUGACAACGCCACCUACCGAAUUAGAGGACCAGCGAAGAUGGAUGACAGUCGGAGUUGAAGUGGAAGAAUUGAAUAGGGUGAUAGAGAAACAACUGAGAAAAGAGGGGAGAGCAUCCAGGUGGAGUCAGUGAAGACGUCGUCCAUGAAGUUCUUUCUAUGUGGUUCACGUCAUGAACAAAUUUAUUUUUGUGUGUGUUCAAGUUGAACUGUUGUAAUAUAUUAUUUUAUAAAAUAUACACAAUCUUAAAUCUA